UUAAUUAGAUCUAAGCUGAACGUACUUCUUAAACUUAACUGAAACUGCCAGGAUCUAGCAAACUCAAGCACACUCUGAUUUAGAAAUCCAAUACGAGCUUAACAGUAGAGAUCGAACCAGCGAGUUCAAGUUCGGCAAAAGCUCAAGCACAAAGCUAUAUAUCCAAAUCUGAACCUGACUUAAAUAUAUUUUGCGAAAUAAAAUCUGAAAAUAUUAAACAGCGGCAACCUCGACGAAACUGGGAAUCUGUCCGGAAACCUCGAACC
rnacentral:lncRNA from 1 species